GCUCCUCAGGCGGUGGCGCGAUGUGAGCAGGUCGUGUAAUUCAUUCGAAAUGUCGCCAUAGAUGGGGAGCCCGUGUGUCUUAAUUCCAGAUUUCCAUGUUCAUCCGAGUCCUCGAGAAGCAUGUGGGUGUGUACAUAUUGACAUGGUAACAGAAUCAGAGAGUGAGACACCGUGUACAUGAGUUGUAGAUUAUAUUGUUUUCUCUGCUAUGUAGCAUGCCACUGAAAA
rnacentral:misc_RNA from 1 species